CCUGAGAAACCCAAAAGAUCGAAUGGGGAGAUUCACCGUCAGCGUGGCUGGCUUCCGUGCGGUUCGCGAUGGCCGGGACCUCGGUCCCGCGUCACGCGUCCGCUGCGGUAUGUCCGGCUGCGUCGGCGUGCACUUCUCCCCUAGUAGGACGUCGCGACCCGUUGGGUGUCGGACCGAUGGCCGUUUGGUCGCCUGUCUCGUCGCGUUUACGCGUGCACGUGGCAGACCGAAAUGGUCGAGCGUCCGGCUGCCCGGCGGUAUAGAACGCUAUUGAACGGUAAUGAGCCGCAUUAAGUGCGUUCAGGCUCGUCGGCAGGCUCGUCUCGCCCGGAUUUACGGACCUAGCGCCGUUGCCGGGUGCUUGGCGCGGCUGUUAGCCGGCGAUGUCCUCGGACUGGCUCUAAAAUUCGAAAGGAUUACCGGUCGGCGACGCUACUGCUUUGGGUACUUUC
rnacentral:rRNA from 1 species